GAUUUUUAUGCCCCACCUACGAUAGUAGAGGGGCAUUAUGUUUUCUGGUCUGUGCGUCCGUUCGUCCGUCUGUUCGUUCGUCCGUUCGUCCGUUCGUCCGUCUGUCCCGCUUCAGGUUAAAGUUUUUGGUCAAGGUAGUUUUUGAUGAAGUUGAAGUCCAAUCAACUUGAAACUUAGUAUACAUGUGCCCUAUGAUAUGAUCUUUCUAAUUUUAA
rnacentral:lncRNA from 1 species